rnacentral:rRNA from 1 species
AAUGGGCGCAAGCCUGAUCUAGCCAUGCCGCGUGAGUGAUGAAGGCCUUAGGGUCGUAAAGCUCUUUCGCCAGGGAUGAUAAAGACAGUACCUGGUAAAGAAACCCCGGCUAACUCCGUGCCUGCAGCCGCGGUAAUACGGAGGGGGUUAGCGUUGUUCGGAAUUACUGGGCGUAAAGCGCGCGUAGGCGGAUUAUUAAGUCAGGGGUGAAAUCCCGGGGCUCAACCCCGGAACUGCCCUUGAUACUGGUAGUCUUGAGUUCGAGAGAGGUGAGUGGAAUUCCGAGUGUAGAGGUGAAAUUCGUAGAUAUUCGGAGGAACACCAGUGGCGAAGGCGGCUCACUGGCUCGAUACUGACGCUGAGGUGCGAAAGUGUGGGGAGCAAACAGGAUU